rnacentral:rRNA from 1 species
AGAGCGAACGCUGGCGGCAGGCCUAACACAUGCAAGUCGAGCGCCCGUAGCAAUACGGGAGCGGCAGACGGGAUAGUAACACGUGGGAACGCGCCCUUCGGUUCGGAAUAACUCAGGGAAACUUGAGCUAAUACCGAAUACGCCCUUACGGGGAAAGAUUUAUUGCCGAAGGAACGGCCCGCGUCCGAUUAGCUAGUUGGUGAGGUAAUGGCUCACCAAGGCUACGAUCGGUAGCUGGUCUGAGGGGAUGACCAGCAUCACUGGGACUGAGACACGGCCCAGACUCCUACGGGAGGCAGCAGUGGGGAAUAUUGGACAAUGGGCGCAAGCCUGAUCCAGCCAUGCCGCGUGGAUGAUGAAGGCCUUAGGGUUGUAAAGUCCUUUAACGGGGAAGAUAAUGACGGUACCGUAGAAUAAGCCCGGCUAACUUCGUGCCAGCAGCCGC